rnacentral:lncRNA from 1 species
UAGAAGAAAUUGUGUUUACUAGAGGGAAAACUGUAGCGGUUUUAUCAUUUAAAUUAAUAAAUGAACCUUAACCAGUAACACUAUUAUUUAUUAUCGUAACCAUCCGAAAAAUCAGCACGGAAGAGAUAUUUUUAGUGGAGAACCGAUACGGAAAUGGUACGGAAUUUUCGGAGCUCUUUUUCGGCAAACUACUCCUAUCUUAAAAGACGCUGGAAAAUAUUUAUGGAAAAAGCAUUAAAUUUGGCAAAAGAAGUCGGAACCGAUGUAUUAUCUGGAAAAUCGGUAAAAGAAUCGAUUAAAUCUCGUUUAAAAGAUGACAUAAUUAGAAAACUGCAAACUGUCGAGGGGAUAAGAAGAAAGCCUUUGAAAAUUAAAUAUCAAAAGAAUAAAGAAACGAAGAGAUAUUUAAAACUUCAGCUGUUCAACUAGCUGAAGAGAGUAAUAGAGAUGUUACAAUUUUUCCUAUUUCGUCGAUUUCCGAUUCGAAGGGUCCGAUCGAAUUUUUAUUUCCAGAUUUGGUGAGAAUUAUAUCGAUUUAAAUUCGAUAUAUUUAUAUAUUCAAGCAAGAA